GGCCAAUUUUAAUAUCUAAAGCAUUUCAAAAAUUUCUGAUUUUUAACUUAUUAUACUAUAGUAACAUGCAUGAAUGGAGCGAAAAUUUUUCCAAGACAAGUGUGCCACACAUACUUUAUCCAAGUCUUAUUUACAUAAUGUUUGAAAGCACACUAAUUGUGUCUUUGUUUCAGAAGCUAUAAAAUUUUUUCUAUGCUUUGAAAUAUCAAAAAAUAAAAAAUACAAUAUUGCAUGACAUAGCGGCUACCGUACACUAUGCUUUUUUUCUGACUGAAAAUGUAAAAUAAGUAUAUACUUACAAUUUAAGCUUGAAUUAGUAGCAGUCAUUGUUUAUGAGCCAUGGCAUAGAUUUGCAUUAUUUUAAUAAAAACAUAUUGCAAUAUUGCAUAUCCAACACUGUGCAAUAUUUUGCAUAAUUAUGAUAUUACAUAUAGCUACAUCAUUAUGUAGCAAACACGAUUAAGGCUGUAACAAAAAAUUCUUAAUAAAUAAUUCUUAAUAAAACCUAAAUAAAAAUUCUAUAAAUUAAUUUUAUAAUACUUUACUAAUGUUGAGUGUAUAUAGCGACACAUUUGUUGCCAAUUCCCAAAGUGCCAUGCAUAUGCAUGGCGUUUCUUGUUGUCAGAGAUACACGAAACCCAAUUAUAUUGUUUUCUGCAAUAUCCAAAGCGCAUUCUCAUCUCGCUAAAAGAACACAAAAAAUAAAAUUAAUACGAUAGCGUUGUGUUUGUUUCCCUUUAAAAACCGUUACAGUGCGUAUAAGAGCUUGUUCAUAUGAUAUGAACUGGGCCUGCAAGGGGUGGCUCGCUU